rnacentral:lncRNA from 1 species
ACGCGGCAGAGACCGUGCGACAAACGGAGAUCCCGGUGGCCUGCGUGGAAAAGGCCCGGCGAUUGACCGCUCGAUUCCUCCGGCCGAGGGACAGUGUGAAGGAGGGUGAAGCAACGAAGGAACAGAGGGGAUCUCCUACGAAGCAACCUAGGUCUUGGGCCCAGGUGACUCGGGGGAGAAAAGGGUAUCGAUGAGAGUAGUGGUAAAUUUUUGAGAAAGAGAUUGCUCGUCUCUAGAAGAAGUUCUUAGAGGCAAUGGUUGAGGAAUAUGAGAGCGUAUGCGAAUGGUGGAAUUUCUUGGUAGUAGCUUGUUGCUCGAGUUCACUCUCAAAGAAUUGAAGGUGAGGCUGAAAAUAUCAAAUAAAUUAAUUCAAGAUCAUCCUAUUGUUUGGUUGUUGCUGCCUAGAUUCUUGCUCUUGAACGAUGGCGUCCAAAGUUACUGAUCGACCGUGGAUUCCAUAAGGCACAUUACCAAGAACAAGUGACAUAACUAAUUACCACCCUCGGUAAUAAUGGCUCAUCUGGCGGGUAAUAGCAAUAAUAAGUGUUAUAAUAAUUGAUAAGGGCCACUCAUAAAUACUAAAUUAUAAUAUUAAAAAGAAAUUGUUUUUAUAUCCAAAUUGUUGAUGAAUUCUAUUUUAUCCUUUGUUUAGCAUUUUUUAUUUUAUACUUUAAUUAUCUAUAGGUCUCUAUUUUAGAAGUAGUGUUAAUAUAGAUUUCUUCUAUCAUAAUUUAAACUAUAUCUUAUUCUUAUUCAGAUUCAUCUUCUUUGAAUGAUGGUAUGAUGGUGGUGAAAAUUUUAAAAGAUCAAGAUAUUGGAAUCUGUUGGGGGAAAAAUGGAUUACUCAAAGCACGUGGUCAAAUAGCCGGCACUUAAUGAUGAACGUGACGACAACA